ensembl:lncRNA
AUGUCUCUAAAGUUCAGGUCUCUCAGCUCUUGUGUGAUUUUUAAACCUUCCCAGGUUAUCCAGAUCAUGGUGGCUAGGUUCUACUUGGGACUUGGUCCCAGACAAAUAUUUAACUUUCCUGUGGACUCUACUGAUAUGGGGGCUACAUUUUGGCUGGGUGUUGUGGUAAAUUAUACCUCCCAAUAUCUAUUUUAUGAGACACACCUUUCUCUGCGGCACCAUUAUUUCUUUACCUUGUAUUUAAUGCUAUUAAUCGUAAUGUGGUUUUAUGCCUUUCUGUCUCUUCAGUACCUCACAGCUGGUGUCCUGGUUGUGGUUGCAGGCCUGUCUCUCUCUGUUUGGCUGAUGCGUGUCGCUGUGUCUGUCAACUUAUUUGGUUUAAUUGUCACCAUUGCUAGUAUUGUGCUGUAUGGCAUAGACCUGGGAGCCGUUUCUGUUGUUUGGAUGUGUCACAGCUACAGAGAAGACAAGAAUAACUGUUUAAAAGUGGUGUCCAUUGCUCAGAGUCUGUUGACAGCCACAUACAUCACUAUGACUGUCCUGGCUGCUCUGCAGUUAUGCGUAUGCAUCACUUUAGUAGUUCUGGGCAUCAAAAUGUUCAACGGGACUGAACAGGGGGACAAAAGUGCUCCGUUGCUGCCCACGGAAGACCUCAGCUAUGAUGUGAUGUGAAAAUCUAUCUAUCUAUCUAUCUAUCUAUCUAUCUAUCUAUCUAUCUAUCUAUCUAUCUAUCUAUCUAUCUAUCUAUCUAUCUAUCUAUCUAUCUAUCUAUCUAUCUAUCUAUCUAUCUAUCUAUCUAUCCAGCCAUCCAUCCAUCCGGGUACUUUGCAACGUCUUCCUGACAUCAAUGUGUGGUGUCCCGUCUUUGCCGCUAGGUGGCGUCCAGCCUCCAAAUAACGUCUCCAACGUUGUCGCAAAAAUAUCGAAUGCAGUAAAGCAUUGCACAUGAAAUAUGAAAAGUUUCUAACUUUCAAACACAUCUUAAUUGGGAAGUGCAUUUUUGUGCAGUCCUUUUCGAAGUCUUCUCAGUUUCAGUCGUAUUCUUUAUUGUUCAGGGGAUUUUUUAUACCUGUUAAAUACCUGUGUUGGUGAUGAAAUCUGUUCUUAAUAAAACCACUGAAAGAAAAACAGGGGUCUCAACGGUGCAUGUUCAGUCAUGAGUUUCUGUUUCCACAGCUUCAGUUGGUACCACAAGAGGGUGUUUUUUAUGCUAAUCAUGCUGUGAUAAAAUUGUUGCAAGGAAACUGCAUGAAAGUUGUAAUGACUGUACACUGUCAGGUUUUUAAUCACAGCUCAAUUCACUUUUUUUCUUCUUUUUUGCAGCUUUAAUGUAU